UACAUAAUAAUCCGCCCGGGAAUUACGAACAAAAGUUUAAAACCCAAAGGACUUGGCGGUGCUUAAUAUCCACCUAGAGGAGCCUGUUCUGUAACCGAUAAUCCCCGUUCAACCUCACCCUCCCUUGCCUUAAUCCGCUUAUAUACCGCCAUCGUCAGUCCACCCUGUGAAGGCCCGACAGUCGACAAAAUCGAAACAACCCAAAACGUUAGGUCGAGGUGUAGCGUACGGGGGGGGAAGAAAUGGGCUACAUUUGCUUUAGCAGCACACUACGAACGUUAUAUUGAAAUAUACAACUGAAGGAGGAUUUAGUAGUAAGCAGGAAAUAGAGUGUUCUGCUGAAAUAGGCACUUAAGCGCGUACACACCGCCCGUC
rnacentral:rRNA from 1 species